GCAGUGGUGGUUCAGUGGUAGAAGUCUCACCUUCCUUGUGGGACACCCAGGUUCGAGUCCAGGCCAAUGUA
rnacentral:tRNA from 1 species